CAGGAUGGUGCCAAGGUGCAGGGGGGGUGACGCCUCUGUCCCCCCCCCCAAGCCGAGCACCGAGCCCUCUGCCCCCACGGGACCGGCCAGACCACGGGGCCCCAGGGCUCAGCAGCAGAUGUGGACGAGUGCCGGGUGUUCGCGCCGCAGCUGUGCCGGGGGGGGGUCUGCAUCAACGCCGCCCCCGGCUUCAGCUGCUACUGCCCCAGCGGCUACUACUACGAGCAGGAGCACCUGCAGUGCGUGGGUGAGCACCCAGCACCCCCAGCACCCCCCCAGCACCCCCCCAGCACCCCCAGCACCCUGACCUCAGCACCCUAAUUGUGCCCUGGGUGCACCCUGCCUGCACCCUGAGCACCCUGAGCACCCUAAUUGUGCCCUGAGUGCACCCUGAGCACCCUCUUUGCACCCUGAGCACCCGACUUGUGCCCUGACUGCACCCUGAGUGCGCCCUACCUGCACCCUGAGCACCCUGACUGCACCCUCAGCACCCUAAUUGUGCCCUGAGUGCACCCUGGCUGCACCCUGAGCACCCUACUUGCACCCUGGCUGCACCCUGAG